CCUACGGGGGGCAGCAGUGGGGAAUAUUGCACAAUGGGGGAAACCCUGAUGCAGCGACGCCGCGUGAAGGAAGACGUAUUUCGGUAUGUAAACUUCUAUCAGCAAGGAAGAUGAUGACGGUACUUGACUAAGAAGCCCCGGCUAACUACGUGCCAGCAGCCGCGGUAAUACGUAGGGGGCAAGCGUUAUCCGGAUUUACUGGGUGUAAAGGGAGCGUAGGCGGCCAUGCAAGUCAGAAGUGAAAGCCCGGGGCUCAACCCCGGGACUGCUUUUGAAACUGUAGGGCUAGAUUGCCGGAGAGGUGAGCGGAAUUCCUAGUGUAGCGGUGAAAUGCGUAGAUAUUAGGAGGAACACCAGUGGCGAAGGCGGCUCACUGGACGGUAAAUGACGCUGAGGCUCGAAAGCGUGGGGAGCAAACAGGAUUAGAUACCCGAGUAG
rnacentral:rRNA from 1 species